rnacentral:rRNA from 1 species
CGAACGGGUGAGUAACACGUGAGUAACCUGCCCUUGACUCUGGGAUAAGCGUUGGAAACGACGUCUAAUACCGGAUAUGAACCGCGAAGGCAUCUUCUGCGGUUGGAAAGAAUUUUGGUCAAGGAUGGACUCGCGGCCUAUCAGCUAGUUGGUGAGGUAACGGCCCACCAAGGCGACGACGGGUAGCCGGCCUGAGAGGGUGACCGGCCACACUGGGACUGAGACACGGCCCAGACUCCUACGGGAGGCAGCAGUGGGGAAUAUUGCACAAUGGGCGAAAGCCUGAUGCAGCAACGCCGCGUGAGGGACGACGGCCUUCGGGUUGUAAACCUCUUUUAGCAGGGAAGAAGCGAAAGUGACGGUACCUGCAGAAAAAGCACCGGCUAACUACGUGCCAGCAGCCGCGGUAAUACGUAGGGUGCAAGCGUUGUCCGGAAUUAUUGGGCGUAAAGAGCUCGUAGGCGGUUUGUCGCGUCUGCUGUGAAAACGCGAGGCUCAACCUCGCGCCUGCAGUGGGUACGGGCAGACUAGAGUGCGGUAGGGGAGAUUGGAAUUCCUGGUGUAGCGGUGGAAUGCGCAGAUAUCAGGAGGAACACCGAUGGCGAAGGCAGAUCUCUGGGCCGUAACUGACGCUGAGGA